GACGAACGCUGGCGGCGUGCCUAAUACAUGCCAGUUGAGCGCUGAAGGUUGGUACUUGUACCGACUGGAUGAGCAGCGAACGGGUGAGUAACGCGUGGGGAAUCUGCCUUUGAGCGGGGGACAACAUUUGGAAACGAAUGCUAAUACCGCAUAAAAACUUUAAACACAAGUUUUAAGUUUGAAAGAUGCAAUUGCAUCACUCAAAGAUGAUCCCGCGUUGUAUUAGCUAGUUGGUGAGGUAAAGGCUCACCAAGGCGAUGAUACAUAGCCGACCUGAGAGGGUGAUCGGCCACAUUGGGACUGAGACACGGCCCAAACUCCUACGGGAGGCAGCAGUAGGGAAUCUUCGGCAAUGGACGAAAGUCUGACCGAGCAACGCCGCGUGAGUGAAGAAGGUUUUCGGAUCGUAAAACUCUGUUGGUAGAGAAGAACGGUGGUGAGAGUGGAAAGCUCAUCAAGUGACGGUAACUACCCAGAAAGGGACGGCUAACUACGUG
rnacentral:rRNA from 1 species